UACGGGGGGAGCAAGCGUUGUUCGGAUUUACUGGGCGUAAAGGGCGCGUAGGCGGUCAGCACAAGUCAGUUGUGAAAUCUCCGGGCUUAACUCGGAAAGGUCAACUGAUACUGUGCGACUAGAGUGCAGAAGGGGCAACUGGAAUUCUCGGUGUAGCGGUGAAAUGCGUAGAUAUCGAGCGGAACACCUGCGGCGAAGGCGGGUUGCUGGGCUGACACUGACGCUGAUGCGCGAAAGCCAGGGGAGCGAACGGG
rnacentral:rRNA from 1 species